AUUUCCAUAGUUUAAUUAGAAUAGGGGCUUGUGGCGCCCUAGGUGUGUUAGCACUGGAGAUC
rnacentral:tRNA from 1 species